CUUGCAACCUGAGGUCACUCUUCAAGAACGCUCCCGUUUGCACAUGCCGCAUAUCGGACGACGGCGACCUCGACAGGCUCAUGUCGGCACGCCUAGAUGGAGGAAAAUUCCUUCAUCUGUCGGUUAUAUGUGACACCAGUAUAGCUCCAAGUGAUUAUCGAUCUUGCCAAGCAGGACCCGUGCCACCGCUGAGGGCCGCACCCGCCCUUGAAGGUGCUUCAUAACUGGGCAAAUCAGAGGCAUGGUCGCAGUAGAAUUACAGAAACAAGUUGGAAGCUAAAAGAUGCUGUACGUCAAGAUCCGUCAGUACCAUUCUUAGAAGAUAUAUAGUGCGAGUUUUCAGUUCGAUUAGGCAGAAUAUGUAGGUUCGUUUGUGUCAAUCUCUGAGUCGUCUUGGAGAAAAUUUAUUGGUUACGGUCGUCAACUAUAUAUUUGGUUAUUUGGUUGUUUAUUGGAAAUAAACUAUUGGGUUAUUUGUGAGUGUCCACCCUAUGCAUGGAAUCAUCAAAUGUUCACCUAGUUA